GCUGGGCAUGGUGGCUCACACCUGUAAUCCCAGCAGCUUAGGAGGCAGAGGCAGGAGGGUUGUUAGUUCAAAGCCAGCCUCAGCAAAAAGUGAGGUGCUAAGCAACUCAGUAAGACCCUGUCUCUA
rnacentral:sRNA from 1 species